AAAUGAAGAAAAAACGACCAAACGAAAAAAAGUAGGGGGGAGGACAUUUAAAGGUAAAUACCACGUUCCCCCCCAAAAAAAAAAAUUUUUUUCUUCUUUUCG
rnacentral:ribozyme from 1 species